AAAAAAAAAAUAUUUCCACACAGGCAACGGUCGAUUAUUCAAAAAGAUUUUCAUAGUUAUCGGAGCGGGAAAGCGUAACGUAACAUAGGCACACAUAAAACAUCAUAAUUAUGCUUUUCUUUAAUUAAAGGUCUUUGUCACUUGGUUCGUAAUUACAGGGCAUAGCACCUGUUCUCAGUUAUUAAACCUGGAGAGGGAAAAGCAGAAAAUGCAGCGACAUUGGAGAGGAGGGUUGCUAGAAUUGAAGCUUACUCCAUCCUUUUGGGGGAAAGAAGAACUGAUUUUUGAAAGUUUCCGGAUUAAUAUGAAUAUAUUGCCUAGCUUGUUAAUUGUGUUUAUUUAAUUUCUUUGCUUCUCAAGGUAUCUGAAGCAUGGCCAAUACCAGCGAAGAGAUUCUAAUGAAAUUUCAAGUCCCCCCAAAAAAGUGAAAAUAAGAUUUCAUCACUUUUGCACUGGACUGCCAAAAGCUGAAGAACAUUAAUAAAGCAUGAUUGUGAAAAUUAGUAUAUUAAUUGACAGAUCUAGAUAUUAUGCUUUACAGUAAUGCAUUGAGCCCACACCGGAAUACUGGGUAAUGAAAUUGCAGAUGCAAUAGCCAAAAGAGCAGCAACUGACCCCCACGUUUGCACACUUUGACAUGCAUUUCCCGGGCUCGUUCUUAAAAGCUGAGCUCGAGAGACAAUUACUGAAACGUUGGCAACAUCUGUGGGAGACAGAGACCACCGGCACAAGAGUUCAUAGAUUUUUUUUUCAAAAGUCUGCUGGCUUCUAAAAAGUGGUUCACUUCACUUCACUCAUGCCUAACAGGGCAUGCUGCCUUCAUGACUUACCUGCAUCGCUUCAGACGACGCGAAAACGACCAUUGCUCGUGUGAUAUAAUAGGUGAUCUGGACUACUAUCUGUUCGCUUGCAGAGAGACUGCCGAA